GUGAAUCAUCAAAUCUUUGAACGCAAAUUGCACUCUCUUCGGAGAGUAUGCCUGUUUGAGGGUCAGCCUAAAAAAAUCGACGUAGUCGCUGUUUCGCGGUGACAUUCGUCGGAAAUUGGGCCAUCUUAAACCUUUGGGUUUUUUAGGCGGCUUAAAUUUUUCUUUACGAUUCAACGAAGGUUUCUAAGAUUUACUUCUUGAGUUUAAGGAACCGAUUUUUUUUAGACGGGUCU
rnacentral:misc_RNA from 1 species